rnacentral:rRNA from 1 species
UACGUAGGGCGCAAGCGUUAUCCGGAAUUAUUGGGCGUAAAGAGCUCGUAGGCGGUUUGUCGCGUCUGCCGUGAAAGUCCGGGGCUCAACUCCGGAUCUGCGGUGGGUACGGGCAGACUAGAGUGAUGUAGGGGAGACUGGAAUUCCUGGUGUAGCGGUGAAAUGCGCAGAUAUCAGGAGGAACACCGGUGGCGAAGGCGGAUCUCUGGGCCUUAACUGACGCUCAGGCACGAAAGCUAGGGGAGCGAACAGG